rnacentral:rRNA from 1 species
GCAAGUCGAACGAAACGGGCAACCGUUUAGUGGCGGAAGGGUUAGUAAUACAUGGAUAACUUGCCUUUAACUUUGGGAUAACGAUUGGAAACGAUCGCUAAUACCAAAUGUGGUGGGGGUAAUUAAAUUUACCUUUAUCAAAGUGGGGGAUCGCAAGACCUCGCGGUUAAAGAGAGGUCCAUGGGAUAUCAGCUAGUUGGUGUGGUAAUGGCGCACCAAGGCUAAGACGUCUAGGCGGAUUGAGAGAUUGACC